UACGUAGGGGGCAAGCGUUGUCCGGAUUUACUGGGCGUAAAGGGCGCGUAGGCGGCAAUUCAAGUCAGCUGUGAAAUCUCCGGGCUUAACUCGGAACGGUCAGCUGAUACUGCUUUGCUAGAGUGCAGAAGGGGCAAUCGGAAUUCUUGGUGUAGCGGUGAAAUGCGUAGAUAUCAAGAGGAACACCUGAGGUGAAGACGGGUUGCUGGGCUGACACUGACGCUGAGGCGCGAAAGCUAGGGUAGCAAACGGG
rnacentral:rRNA from 1 species